UGAAAGUGGGCAUGAGGGCAGCAGAAGGAGUAAAGCAUGAGGGAGGAGGUCUCCUCUGGCACCUGAGCUGAAGGGCCCUCAGGGCAGCCCCAAGGCCGCAGCCUCCCGGUUGCCCUGCAGCCUGGCUGCUGAGUCCCAGCUGCUUCAGCUGGCUAGAGGUCCUUACUUAGUUGUCUCAAGCACCUGAAGCCUACCUUGCCCACCUGCGAGUCACUCGCCCCACAAGCAGGGCACCCAUCUGAGUCCUGUGCCCAGGGCAAACCCCACAACUGCCUGGUAGUGGAGCCACGACAGGGCAGUCAGUGCUCAGGAGGUGCCACACAGCCCCCAAGCACAGAUGCGGCCACACAAAGCCGCUAUUAUAGUUAACAGGUUGAGCCAGAUUCUCUGUGUGCCACCCACCGCACUGCACAGGGCCUCUAGGACCCCAUCCCUGCCUGGGUUCCUGGGGCCCCUCAGGCCGCCACCCACUCAACCAGAGGGCCAGAUCUGAGGGGCAGGGCUCGCUGGCCGCAGGAAUUUGGUGAUUGCCGUCGGUUCUGAAGCCAAAGAAGGAAGCAGACCUCUCCGCGCAGGCAGAUGAGAAAACCAAGGCACUGAAAGCUGGAAAGGGGCAGACCAGACGCAAACACUGCUUUCUUGACUCCACUCACUACAAGCUGCUUCCUUAAGCCUAAACUUGGCUCUUGCCUCACAGGACUAUCUUGCAGGAACCUAGGUCUUUGGCUGGUUUUUGAAGCUGAACCCACCUGGUUUUCUCCUUCAUCUGAUGCAGCAAGAGAAAUUUGGCCAGGAGGGGGCCGUUGGUGCAGACCAAGCAUCCAGUGGGAACACACAGGGGUCAGCUACCUUGGAUUCCUCCUCCCCACUUGGGGGUUCAGCUUCCCUAUUUCCCCCAGGGACAAAGACCCAGCCAGGUCACUCUCAGGGAUUCAGGGAAAAUAAGCAUUGUGUCUGGGGCAUAAAGAAAGGCCAAGUUCUGGGCAUGUGGCUGCAGGCAUGUCUUACGGGACAGAGACAGCCCCCCCAGCCGAGGACUGGCCUCCCAAUAACUCUGUUCUGCCUGGAGUGUCCUUGUGCUGGACUUCCUCCAGCAACCUCACCCUUACAGAAAAAUAGGGAUGCUUUUCUUGAACUUCCUCUUUCUAUUCCUCCUUCUAAGUCAGGGACAGAUGGGGUGGCAGGGGUGGGAAGUAUACUGAUCUGUUUCUUGUCACUGUUGCCCCUAUGUCCUGAUAUAAAAACCUGGGAGUCUUGUC
rnacentral:lncRNA from 1 species